rnacentral:lncRNA from 1 species
AGCCCGUAGACAACGAUGCAGAGGACCAGGUUUCACUAUGCUCCUUACAGUGGAUCCUUAGGAUACUCACACCAACUACAUCUAUUUGGAUCCCAACCUGGCCAGUGUG